rnacentral:rRNA from 1 species
AGUGAACGCUGGCGGUAGGCCUAACACAUGCAAGUCGAACGGCAGCACAGUAAGAGCUUGCUCUUACGGGUGGCGAGUGGCGGACGGGUGAGGAAUACAUCGGAAUCUACUUUUUCGUGGGGGAUAACGUAGGGAAACUUACGCUAAUACCGCAUACGACCUACGGGUGAAAGCAGGGGAUCUUCGGACCUUGCGCGAUUGAAUGAGCCGAUGUCGGAUUAGCUAGUUGGCGGGGUAAAGGCCCACCAAGGCGACGAUCCGUAGCUGGUCUGAGAGGAUGAUCUGCCACACUGGAACUGAGACACGGUCCAGACUCCUACGGGAGGCAGCAGUGGGGAAUAUUGGACAAAGGGCGCAAGCCUGAUCCAGCCAUACCGCGUGGGUGAAGAAGGCCUUCGGGUUGUAAAGCCCUUUUGUUGGGAAAGAAAAGCAGCAGGUUAAUACCCCGCUGUUCUGACGGUACCCAAAGAAUAAGCACCGGCUAACUUCGUG